rnacentral:rRNA from 1 species
CAGUCGCCACGGUAAUACGGAGGGUGCAAGCGUUAAUCGGAAUUACUGGGCGUAAAGCGUGCGUAGGCGGUUCGUUAAGUCUGUUGUGAAAGCCCCGGGCUCAACCUGGGAAUGGCAAUGGAUACUGGCGAGCUAGAGUGUGUCAGAGGAUGGUGGAAUUCCCGGUGUAGCGGUGAAAUGCGUAGAGAUCGGGAGGAACAUCAGUGGCGAAGGCGGCCAUCUGGGACAACACUGACGCUGAGGCACGAAAGCGUGGGGAGCAAACAGGAUUAGAUACCCCAGUAGUCCCUGUCUCUUAUAC